AAAUUGUCAAACUCACCCCAACAUAUGUUGUGAGUGCACCCACGAGAUCCCCAAUCUAAAACCCCUCAAAAACCUUUUUUCUGAACGAAUGGCUAUAUUAUCACCUCCUCUGCUUCUUCCGCUUCCCCUCUCAUCUCCCCCAAAACCCCACCGUUUCGCGUCCUUCAAGCUCGCCGGCAAUUCCACCAAUGGAGCUCUUCUCGGAGUACAGCUCGCAAAACGGCACCGUCUCGUGUUUGCCAAAGCCGCCUCCUCUGUCUACGCCAUCAGAGAAGAGCUCGACGCUGUCAAUAUCGCCGAGGACGUCACGCAGUUGAUCGGGAGCACACCCAUGGUAUACCUCAACAAAGUUAGCGAAGGUUGUGUGGCAAAUAUUGCAGCAAAGCUUGAAUCUAUGGAACCGUGCCGAAGUGUCAAGGAUAGAAUUGGCUGUAGCAUGAUAUCUAAAGCUGAGAAAAGUGGGUUUAUAUCUCCUGGGAAGACUGUAUUAGUUGAACCAACUAGUGGAAAUACAGGACUUGGUAUUGCUUUUGUUGCUGCAACUAAAGGGUAUAAACUUAUAGUCACCAUGCCGGCGUCCAUAGAUAUUGAAAGAAGGAUUCUUUUACGGGCAUUCGGGGCAGAGGUUGUUUUGACGGAUCCAGAAAAGGGUUUGAAAGGAGCGUUAGAUAAAGCUGGGGAAAUUGUUCUUAACACACCAAAUUCAUAUAUGCUUCAACAGUUUGAUAAUGCUGCGAAUGCAGAGAUCCAUUUUGAUACUACUGGGCCAGAAAUAUGGGAGGAUACCAUUGGUAAUGUUGACAUAUUUGUUGCUGCUAUUGGAACUGGUGGUACUGUUACAGGCACUGGCCGUUACCUGAAAAUGAUGAACAAGGAGAUAAAGGUAGUGGGUGUGGAACCUGCAGAGAGGAGUGUAAUAUCUGGAGAAAAUCCAGGUUAUUUACCAAGCAUUUUGGACGUUAAUUUACUUGAUGAGGUCAUCAAGGUUACCAACGAUGAAGCUGUUGAAAUGGCAAGGAGGCUAGCAUUGGAGGAAGGCUUGCUGGUUGGUAUCUCAUCAGGUGCUGCUGCGGCUGCUGCAAUAAGUUUAGCAAGAAGACCUGAGAACAUUGGAAAACUUAUUGCGGUUAUAUUUCCAAGCUUUGGUGAGAGGUAUAUUCCCACUGUACUUUUCCAAUCAAUUUACGAAGAGGUUCAGAAGAUGCGGGGAAAGUAAUCAUAUUAUUCUGGAUGACAUAAACAUGUCAUCGUAAAGAUUGACUACCUUACAAAUCAAUCAAACAGAACCAAACAUGUUUCCGAGAAGGUAAUAGAUUUGACCUGUUACAUCUGUGUCAUAUGAAUGCUGUUGUGAUUCACUGAUGGCAGACUAAUCCAGGUUAGGUUUUAAAGGAAUGCAGAGAGUAGUUGAUCAAUGAAAAAUUGGAAAAAUUGAGGUUAAAAUUUGGUGUGUUUCUAUUGGAACACAUUUCAUGUUUAAUGAUUAGCACAACACUUGCUUUCUUUCCAUUGGCACGCUUGUGGAGAUUCUUUGGAGAAGAUGUCAUGCAAUCUACAUAAAGGAAGGAGAAAAGAAACAACGGAAGGACAUAGAGGAAAGAGGAAGAAGAAAAGAGAGGAAGAAGAAGAAGGAAAAAAAAAAAAAAAGAACAACUCCAAUAAAAAGCCAUCCUCCCUUUCAUAUUAUCCAAUUACCUUUCUUUUACAUAUUGUUAAGGCUUUAAGCCAUCUUUCAUUGUAUUUGUAAGUCCCUCAUAUAUAGUGAAAUACAAUGAAAGCAAACCGCAGUGGAUGUAGUCAAUUUGGCGAACCACUUAAAUCUUGUGUAUUUAUGCAUUUACAUUUUGAGAUC